AGCGGCGGACGGGUGAGUAACACGUGGGUAACCUGCCCAAGAGACUGGGAUAACACCUGGGAACAGAUGCUAAUACCGGAUAACAACACUAGACGCAUGUCUAGAGUUUGAAAGAUGGUUCUGCUAUCACUCUUGGAUGGACCUGCGGUGCAUUAGCUAGUUGGUAAGGUAACGGCUUACCAAGGCAAUGAUGCAUAGCCGAGUUGAGAGACUGAUCGGCCACAUUGGGACUGAGACACGGCCCAAACUCCUACGGGAGGCAGCAGUAGGGAAUCUUCCACAAUGGACGAAAGUCUGAUGGAGCAACGCCGCGUGAGUGAAGAAGGGUUUCGGCUCGUAAAGCUCUGUUGGUAGUGAAGAAAGAUAGAGGUAGUAACUGGCCUUUAUUUGACGGUAAUUACUUAGAAAGUCACGGCUAACUACGUGCCAGCAGCCGCGGUAAUACGUAGGUGGCAAGCGUUGUCCGGAUUUAUUGGGCGUAAAGCGAGUGCAGGCGGUUCAAUAAGUCUGAUGUGAAAGCCUUCGGCUCAACCGGAGAAUUGCAUCAGAAACUGUUGAACUUGAGUGCAGAAGAGGAGAGUGGAACUCCAUGUGUAGCGGUGGAAUGCGUAGAUAUAUGGAAGAACACCAGUGGCGAAGGCGGCUCUCUGGUCUGCAACUGACGCUGAGGCUCGAAAGCAUGGGUAGCGAACAGGAUUAGAUACCCUGGUAGUCCAUGCCGUAAACGAUGAGUGCUAAGUGA
rnacentral:rRNA from 1 species